GUUGAACGCUGGCGGCAUGCCUUACACAUGCAAGUCGAACGGUAACAGGUCUUCGGAUGCUGACGAGUGGCGAACGGGUGAGUAAUACAUCGGAACGUGCCUAGUAGUGGGGGAUAACUACUCGAAAGAGUGGCUAAUACCGCAUGAGAUCUACGGAUGAAAGCAGGGGAUCGCAAGACCUUGUGCUACUAGAGCGGCCGAUGGCAGAUUAGGUAGUUGGUGGGGUAAAGGCUUACCAAGCCGACGAUCUGUAGCUGGUCUGAGAGGACGAUCAGCCACACUGGGACGGAGACACGGCCCAGACUCCUACGGGAGGCAGCAGUGGGGAAUUUUGGACAAUGGGCGCAAGCCUGAUCCAGCAAUGCCGCGUGCAGGAUGAAGGCCUUCGGGUUGUAAACUGCUUUUGUACGGAACGAAAAGCCCCGGGUUAAUACCCUGGGGUCAUGACGGUACCGUAAGAAUAAGCACCGGCUAACUACGUGCCAGCCGCCGCCGUAA
rnacentral:rRNA from 1 species